rnacentral:rRNA from 1 species
UCGAGAAUCUUUUGCAAUGGGCGAAAGCCUGACAAUGCGACGCCGCGUGGGUGAUGAAGGUCUUCGGAUUGUAAAACCCUGUCAGCUUGGAUGAAUUUUCACGGCGUAACAUGCCGUGAAAUUGACGGUACAAGCAGAGGAAGCCACGGCUAACUCCGUGCCAGCAGCCGCGGUAAUACGGAGGUGGCGAGCGUUGUUCGGAUUUAUUGGGUGUAAAGGGUAUGUAGGUUUCCCUACAAGUCCUUCUUUAAAUACUCUGGCUCAACCAGAGAACUGGGGAGGAAACUGUAGGGAUUGAGUGCUGGAGAGGAAAGCGGAAUUCCCGGUGUAAGGGUGAAAUCUGUAGAUAUCGGGAGGAACACCAGUGGCGAAAGCGGCUUUCUGGCCAGAUACUGACACUGAAAUACGAAAGCAAGGGGAGCAAACAGG